rnacentral:rRNA from 1 species
UACGGAGGGUGCAAGCGUUAAUCGGAAUUACUGGGCGUAAAGCGCGCGUAGGCGGCUGGGUAAGUCGAUUGUGAAAUCCCCGGGCUCAACCUGGGAAUUGCAGUCGAGACUGCCCGGCUAGAGUGUGGGAGAGGGUGGUGGAAUUCCCGGUGUAGCGGUGAAAUGCGCAGAUAUCGGGAGGAACACCAAUGGCGAAGGCAGCUCGCUGGGACGUUACUGACGCUGAGACGCGAAAGCGUGGGGAGCAAACAGG